rnacentral:rRNA from 1 species
AUUGAACGCUGGCGGCAGGCCUAACACAUGCAAGUCGAACGAGUGGCGGACGGGUGAGAAAGGUCUGGGAAACUGCCUGAUGUAGGGGGAUAACUAUUGGAACCGGUAGCUAAUACCGCAUACCACCGGAUGUGGCCAGAUGGGAUUAGCUAGUUGAUGGGGUAAAGGCUCACCGAGGCGACGAUGCCUAGGAGGUCUGAGAGGAUGACCAGCCUCACUGGAACGAGGGCACGGUCCAGACUCCUAAGAGCGGCACCAGUGGGAACUGUUGCACAAUGGGCGCAAUCCUGGUGAGCCCAUGCCGCGUGUAUGAAGUGGGCCUUCGGGUUGUAAAGUGCUUUAAGCGGGGAGGCGUUACCCGCAGAAGAAGCACCGGCUAACUCCGUGCCAGCAGCCGCGGUAAUAC